GCCUACCUCUCACCGGGCAUAUUUUGUGCCUCGUCUCUUAUUUUAAGCAAACCUUAUCCUCUCAUUCUUCACCACGCGCACACUCUUCUCUCCAGUCUUCACUCUCUCAGAUUCCGGCAAGGCUUUGGCCCUCUCUUCUCUCCUGAGAUCCCGGCGGGCCUCCGAGGCAAGCGGCGCUGUUGAAUUCGUGGCGCGAGCUCGCGCAGCAGUGUACGAGGCAGAGCGGAGCUAGUGGUGCCAUGCGGAUCUAGCGGCUCACCCCAGCGGCAUCGGCGACCUCACGCGUCGGAGCAACAUUCGCUCCGCCCUGGCAAGCGAGUGGUGUGGUGGUCGAAGGCAAGAGAUCCGCCGCUACUGCUCGCAUGCAGGUAUGCGGCUGUGGGAAUUACUUCCGGUUUGCAAUUGAGGAGCGCAAGUGCUUCGGAAUUUCGGAUGCAGCGGAACAAGCAAUGCAAGUUUACAGAUGUUUUUUACUUCAUGCGCCAAUAGAGAGAUUGAAGUCUGUGCUGUCCAAGUUAGCUCAAUAAUCUUGUGGUGCUGUAGGGAUGUUAUGUUGGAGAUGUAGACUGUAACAUAUGAACAACAUCAUGUAGGUUUGUGCGACAAUAUUUUUAGUAGUUGAUGACCAUUCAUGCUUGUAUUCUAAUAAUGCAAGUCCAAAAUUGUAUGAAUCAAUGAAUGUCAAUUGGAUGGAGCCAGUGCUUAUUAUUAA